GACGUAGGGUGCGAGCGUUGUCCGGAUUUAUUGGGCGUAAAGAGCUCGUAGGCGGUGUGUCACGUCGGCCGUGAAAACCUGCAGCUUAACUGUGGGCGUGCGGUCGAUACGGGCAUCACUGGAGUUCGGCAGGGGAGACUGGAAUUCCUGGUGUAGCGGUGAAAUGCGCAGAUAUCAGGAGGAACACCGGUGGCGAAGGCGGGUCUCUGGGCCGAUACUGACGCUGAGGAGCGAAAGCGUGGGGAGCAAACAGG
rnacentral:rRNA from 1 species